rnacentral:rRNA from 1 species
AUUGAACGCUGGCGGCAGGCCUAACACAUGCAAGUCGAACGGUAACAGGAAGAAGCUUGCUUCUUUGCUGACGAGUGGCGGACGGGUGAGUAAUGUCUGGGAAACUGCCUGAUGGAGGGGGAUAACUACUGGAAACGGUAGCUAAUACCGCAUAACGUCGCAAGACCAAAGAGGGGGACCUUCGGGCCUCUUGCCAUCGGAUGUGCCCAGAUGGGAUUAGCUAGUAGGUGGGGUAACGGCUCACCUAGGCGACGAUCCCUAGCUGGUCUGAGAGGAUGACAGCCACACUGGAACUGAGACACGGUCCAGACUCCUACGGGAGGCAGCAGUGGGGAAUAUUGCACAAUGGGCGCAAGCCUGAUGCAGCCAUGCCGCGUGUAUGAAGAAGGCCUUCGGGUUGUAAAGUACUUUCAGCGGGGAGGAAGGGAGUAAAGUUAAUACCUUUGCUCAUUGACGUUACCCGCAGAAGAAGCACCGGCUAACUCCGUG